UCUUUGCUUAUCUGACGAAGGUCGCAAUUGAGGAAAGCCGUGGCGUGGCAGCAGAGAAACCACAGGGCCAAGAAGUCCUGGUCCACUAAGUCUGCUAGAAGCGAGCGGGGUGUGAUUGUUGUUCACUGCGUGCCGAAAGGAAACCAACUCUUCUUGGAAGUCGGAAGAGACGGAGCCUCUCGCGUUACACCAAGCGUUUUUCCUCAGUUCUGCGUUGCGGUUCUGAAAAACAUUGGAUUGGAGGAGCCUGGAAGACUUCGAGUCACAGGACCAAAUCAAAUCUGUUCAUCAAGGUGUGCCCGAAGAGCAAUACCCGGAGGACAGCCCUUAUAUUUCCGCCAGCUCGAGCAUCACAAAGUUCCUUGCAAAGUCAAUAUGGCACUUCGAGCAAGGACUACCAGGAGAUCAGUGCGUACGGAUGAACCAGGCAGCAGCGGCAACCACGUGAGCGCGCUGGCCGAGGAACAGCCUCGCAGGAGUCUCUCUCUGGCCAUCAAGGUUUCCAUCGUCGUUGUCGUGAUCGCCAUCAACUUGCUCAUCUAUGCCAACCUGGCGUACUUCAAGUCGGAUGUCCCGUUAGAUGAAGAUCAGUGAACUGUCCUUCACCAGUUCCUUCUUGAUCACCGCGAUUGAGGGCUGUAAAAAUACGUUUCUGAAUGCCCAUAGAUGCCGUGGUGCAAGUGUCGCGAUAACGGGGCACUAGCACAGAUUUAUGCAACAACUAUGAGUUAAGCCGUGGCAGUGUUUGGCGUUCACCCGAAUACCUUCUACUUCGCUUCAGUGAUUGAGACAUACUCCCGUAUUCAGAAACGCUCCUCGACUCAACUUUCACCCUUCACUUGACAGAGGGGAGCACUGAGUCGCUGCUCGGCUGAAAAGGAUGCUGCGCUACUCAAGAAUCGCAGCAGAUUAUCGCUGAUAUGCAGUGACUUGCCUUGCCUAGAGAAGGCGCUCCCAUCGGCUUUCUGAAGUGGAGGUGAAGCGUUGAGUGAAGGGACGUUCUAAAAUACGAGCGAUAGUCACAAAGCACGCUUCAAGGGCUUCUAUUGCUAACUGCCAAGUGUGGCAAUGAUUUCAAAAGUUCUGCAUUUUUAUAUAAUAAAGCUCACCAAGUAGGCUCGUUGUCCAAAGGGACUAAGUAGACUUUGUUUCCUAUCCGUUUCGCAGAAACGUAAUUCAUUUUGAUGAUUGAUUUGUGGGGUUUAGCGUCCCACAACCACCAUAUGAAUAUGAGAGACACCGUAGUGGAGGGCUCCGGAAAUUUCGACCACCUGGGAUUCUUUAACGUCCACCCACGGGCCUACAACAUUUCCGCUUCCAUCAGAAAUGCAGCCGCCGCAGCCGGGAUUCGAUCCCGCGACCUGUGGGUCAACAGCCGAGUACUUUAGCCACUAGACCACCACGGCGGGGCGUAAUUCAUUUUCCGAAUCGACAACGUGCCUCGUUAUGUUGCGAAACACAAAACAAUGACACCUUCGUUAAUGUUUGAUGGAGUAGUUGCAUUCGGGCAGAGCAGAACGUCUCCACAAUCACAAUGUUCACCAAAAUCGGCCACGAACCGAUUGCAACAAUAGAAAAUGUAGUCCACAUUAUACGUAAGGCUACUCACGUGUGUAUCAGUCAAUGAUGCCUUAAUGUUUAUAUUAUAAGUGUUUCGUUGAAGCGCCAGUUAAAAUGCUGGUCAUCCUGCCUGAAAUGUAAGAGAAGCCAUGCGAUUUCGCCGGCAACAGUUAUUCAAGGUUGUGUAAUAGGGUAUUUAGGUAGCACCACAGCUCACUCUGGUACAAUAAAUAUUCAUGUUUACGUGUGU